UCCUGCGCCAGAAUCGACAGGAAGCGCUCGCCGAGCUGAGCCACUCGGCCACUCUGCUGCGGGAGGUCGGGCUUCCCACCAGCACCGCGCUGGCCUUCAGCUCGGAGCGAGGACACGACUCCUACCGCAGGGCUGUGAGCUGCAGUUUGGACAGCCAGCAGAUCAGCGAGGACUUGAGCGUGGAGAGGACUGGGACGGAGGUCCGGGUGGAGUACCGCCUCGAUCACUCCGUGGGCUCCCUGCGGGGGUGGGGGGUGCCCGAAAACAACAGCGUCCAGGCCGAGCUGGACUUCGGUCAGGCGAGGCGUCUAUCUGUGCGCUCCCGGCUCGGCGAUCGGUUCGUCAGCCUCGGUGCUCGCCUCAAGGACGCGCCCGCGUGCACCGAGGUUGCUGGAGUCCUGGAGCACAGCUGGGCCUGGCUGCGGGAAAAAGGGCUCCCCAGCGCGGUGGAGGUGUUGUGCUCCAUACAGGGGUCUCUCCCGCAGCUCCAGGCCAGGGCUCACCUAUCUACAGAUGGAGAGAAGCUCCUGGCCUCUGCGCUGAAUGUUAGCUUAACUGGGGGUCGUCUCGCCCUGCUGCUCUCCCUGGCUGGACCCCCCCACCUCGUCCCGGGGCCACUCCGCGGCCUGGACGCUGCCGUCACUGCCCACUACAGAGGCAGCCAGAAGCACGCCUCUGUGGACCUGUACUGCAAUGGCACGCGAGUGCGGUUGGUGGGGGAGGCGACUGUCUGGGGAGCCGGCGGGCGGGAGGCCAGGGUUGCUCUGCAGCACAGCAGAGAGGGGGAGGACAAGCCCACAAUACAGGUGGAGGCCUGGGGGAGGCUGACCGAGACUCAGCUCCGGGGAUCUCUGGCGUGGAACCCCAAGACUAACUCCUCGCUGGCUAUCACAGUGCAGGGACACAACCUGCCGUCCAGAAAGGAGUUGAACUGCAAGGUACAUCAGAGCAUACCUGCAUUGCAGCUGUACCUGCCUCCCCAGCUUGACGCCAAGACACAGGUAAACCAUACAGGCUCAACACUGCACGGGUUCGCCGAGGUAAAACUAGGUGGCAACAAGCUACAGGCCCUGGGCGAACUGAGCAUCGCAGAAUCUGGGUACAAACAAGCAGUGGAGGUCAAGCACUCCUUCCCACAGCUGAAGUCCCUUCCCGGGAAUGUUGCGCUAAACUCGAUCUAUGAAGGAGGGAACCACACUUGCAGGCUGCAGCAGAGAGUCGUGUGGGGAGGUCAAGAGCUCAGUGUGUCAGGCCAGUACCUGAGCCUCGAGCAGGAAAGGGGCACUCGCAGGCUGCAAGGUAAGACACCCUCCAUUCUGGAGUUACACAGAUUAAAACCUUGAACUUCCUGAAAUAGAACAGCAUGAAGAAUUGGCUAAAGCACUGCCCCCUGUAAUGAAC
rnacentral:lncRNA from 1 species